rnacentral:lncRNA from 1 species
GCUGGAAAAAGCACAGCUGUGUUUUCUUAUCCCAGAACUCUGCAGUGUGAUUAGGGAGUCAUCUGAGUUUCUGACUUGGAGGCACACAUCUCUGCUGAAAUAAAAUGAAGUACCUCUAUGUGCAGACUAAGAAAUUACUAAAUGCCCCCCUUCCUCUUCUUUGUAGCUUUUUCUCUCGUCUUCAUCAUAGGAGCAAUCUCUGGUACAUGCACGUUAACCAAAACUCCAGCACCGUCUCAGAGGACAUGAGGACUGCAGGCUUGAUCUGAGGGAGGAGACAUCCCCUACUGGACGGACCUGAAGUUUAAAAGGGGAAGAAGGCACGGAAGUGAGGAAGAGAAUGCACACAAGAACCAAGCCGUUGUUUCUUCAAGAGAGAUCACUGAAGGCAGCCAGAAGUGAAGACUGGAAAGGCUGAGGGAAGGCUGAUUCUUGGUGGAAUGGUGGUUGUCUUCCUGGUAACCAGAGCUGGAUCUGGGAGAGCUGCGGCACGCUGUUCAAUGUGUUAGUUUGCGCCUGCUGCAUGACAAACCACCUCGGAAGUCCAUGGCAUACAAGCAGCAGCAUACGUUAUCACGCUCACAGUCGUACAGACCAGCUGGGGCACCUGUGCAUCAGGCUGCGGAAGGCUGGGGUGUGCUCUGCUCUACUUUCCUUUAUUCUUCUGGGACCUGUGAGCUAACUUGGGCAUGUUCUUCUCAUGGGAGUGGCAGAAAUGAAAGAGGGGUGAGCAGAAACUCAGUGAGCAGCUCAGAACUGGUACCCCGUCACCUCCACCCACAUUCCAUCGGCCAAAGCAAUUCCAUGGCCAAGCCCAAUAACAGUAGACUGUGGACAUAUUCUCCACCUUGCAUGGAAGGAACUGCUGAGUCACUUGGCAACGUGUAUGGAUUCAGGGAGGAGUCGAUGGGGAC